GCGCUCUGAGGCGAUGCGGCAGGCCACGCCCAUUCCCUGGCGGGUGGGGAGAGGAUGGGUGUUGCAAGCCGCGCGUGCGCAGGCACCUUCACAGAAAUGGACAGAAUUUUCAAAAGUGCUGCGCAUCCCUGGCUUCCAUUGGCUUCAGUGUGAUUUUGGGGGAGAAGGUGGGGGAGGGCUCAGCACUGCUAAAAUGAGACCUCUUUUAUUCGGCUGUCCAAAUAUGUAUUCAGGAGCCUGACUUCAGACACCUAGGAGACAAAAGCCCACAGAUGGAUGACACCGAGACACAAAACAGACGGCUUGCCAACUCAGUCUGCCUCAGCUUCAGCGGGAUGGAUCUGGAGCUUCUACUGUGAUGUUGGAAUCUCACAGGAGGAACUCAGAUCAGACAUGAUACUCAGUCUUGUUUCACCACUGCACUGAUGCAAAGGAGAUGGAAGAAGUACAGAGGACAGCAGACAGCGUCUGCAUGCAAACACUAGGAGAACUGGUCAGAUGACAUGGACUCCAGUGCCAGCAAUAUGCAGGUGACACAUCUCUACCUAUCCUACACAGAGCCGGCCUUCAAUACGGGCCAACAGGGCAAAAGCCCAGGGCACCAUUGUAAGCGGGGCGUCUCCAGAGCAGGAGUGCCUAUCCCCCCGCUGCUGCUCCUGGCCCCUGCAUUGGAGCCGCCCCUGGCCAGCUGUUCCCUGGGGGAUUCCUGUCAGCUGGGCAGAGUGGGGGGAGAGGGCACUGGUGUCAGGGUGUCCCCCUCCCCCCGCCCAUGUACCCAAUCUCCGCAGAGUGGGGGAAGAGCGGGGUCAAGGCUCAGGAGUGAGAUGGAGCUGUUGGGGGCUGCUGCUGUCUGAACAAGUCUUCAGACUGGUGAGUGCCACUCUGCUUAAAGGGACAGCACUCUGUCUCUCUCACACACUCUCUGUCUCUGUCUGUCUCUCUCUCACACACACACACAUACACAGACACACACUGUCUCUUUUGCACUCAACCCUCAAAACAUACGUGUGGUGGUGGUGGUGGUGUUACUUCUUGGUACUUCCUGCAGUGCACAUAUAUUCUCUGUAAUUUUAUUCUUUC